AACGAACGCUGGCGGCAUGCCUAACACAUGCAAGUCGAACGAGACCUUCGGGUCUAGUGGCGCACGGGUGCGUAACGCGUGGGAACCUGCCUUUAGGUUCGGAAUAACUCCCCGAAAGGGGUGCUAAUACCGGAUAAUGUUUUCGGACAAAAGAUUUAUCGCCUUUGGAUGGGCCCGCGUUGGAUUAGCUAGUUGGUAGGGUAAAAGCCUACCAAGGCGACGAUCCAUAGCUGGUCUGAGAGGAUGAUCAGCCACACUGGGACUGAGACACGGCCCAGACUCCUACGGGAGGCAGCAGGGGGGAAUAUUGGACAAUGGGCGAAAGCCUGAUCCAGCAAUGCCGCGUGAGUGAUGAAGGCCUUAGGGUUGUAAAGCUCUUUUACCCGGGAGGAUAAUGACAGUACCUGGAGAAUAAGCGCCGGCUAACUCCGUG
rnacentral:rRNA from 1 species